rnacentral:rRNA from 1 species
ACACAUGCAAGUCGAACGGCAGCACGGGAGCAAUCCUGGUGGCGAGUGGCGAACGGGUGAGUAAUACAUCGGAACGUGUCCAGUAGUGGGGGAUAGCCCGGCGAAAGCCGGAUUAAUACCGCAUACGACCUAUGGGUGAAAGCGGGGGAUCGCAAGACCUCGCGCUAUUGGAGCGGCCGAUGUCAGAUUAGGUAGUUGGUGGGGUAAAGGCCUACCAAGCCUACGAUCUGUAGCUGGUCUGAGAGGACGACCAGCCACACUGGGACUGAGACACGGCCCAGACUCCUACGGGAGGCAGCAGUGGGGAAUUUUGGACAAUGGGGGCAACCCUGAUCCAGCCAUGCCGCGUGCGGGAAGAAGGCCUUCGGGUUGUAAACCGCUUUUGUCAGGGAAGAAAUCCUUUGGGUUAAUACCUCGGAGGGAUGACGGUACCUGAAGAAUAAGCACCGGCUAACUACGUGCCAGCAGCCGCGGUAAUACGUAGGGUGCAAGCGUUAAUCGGAAUUACUGGGCGUAAAGCGUGCGCAGGCGGUUAUGCAAGACAGAUGUGAAAUCCCCGGGCUCAACCUGGGAACUGCAUUUGUGACUGCAUAGCUAGAGUACGGUAGAGGGAGAUGGAAUUCCGCGUGUAGCAGUGAAAUGCGUAGAUAUGCGGAGGAACACCGAUGGCGAAGGC